rnacentral:rRNA from 1 species
UGGGGAAUUUUGGACAAUGGGCGCAAGCCUGAUCCAGCCAUGCCGCGUGCGGGAAGAAGGCCUUCGGGUUGUAAACCGCUUUGUCAGGGAAGAAAUCUUCUGAGUUAAUACCUCGGGAGGAUGACGGUACCUGAAGAAUAAGCACCGGCUAACUACGUGCCAGCAGCCGCGGUAAUACGUAGGGUGCAAGCGUUAAUCGGAAUUACUGGGCGUAAAGCGUGCGCAGGCGGUUUUGUAAGACAGAGGUGAAAUCCCCGGGCUCAACCUGGGAACUGCCUUUGUGACUGCAAGGCUUGAGUGCGGCAGAGGGGGAUGGAAUUCCGCGUGUAGCAGUGAAAUGCGUAGAUAUGCGGAGGAACACCGAUGG